rnacentral:rRNA from 1 species
GAUGAACGCUAGCGGCAGGCUUAAUACAUGCAAGUCGAGGGGCAGCAUGACUGUAGCAAUACAGUUGAUGGCGACCGGCAAACGGGUGCGGAACACGUACAGAACCUUCCUUCGAGCGGGGAAUAGCCCAGAGAAAUUUGGAUUAAUACCCCAUAGUAUAUUAGAGUGGCAUCACUUUGAUAUUAAAGAUUUAUCACUUGAAGAUGGCUGUGCGGCUGAUUAGGUAGUUGGCGGGGUAACGGCCCACCAAGCCUUCGAUCAGUAACUGGUGUGAGAGCACGACCAGUCACACGGGCACUGAGACACGGGCCCGACUCCUACGGGAGGCAGCAGUAAGGAAUAUUGGUCAAUGGACGAAAGUCUGAACCAGCCAUGCCGCGUGGAGGAUGAAGGUCCUCUGGAUUGUAAACUUCUUUUAUAUGGGACGAAAAAAGGGUUUUCUAACUCGUCUGACGGUACCAUAUGAAUAAGCACCGGCUAACUCCGUGCCAGCAGCCG